UGCCUGACCUGCUGUGCUUUUCCAGCACCACUCUAAUCUAGACUCUGAUCUCCAGCAUCUGCAGGCCUCACUUUCAUCCUGUCUUAAAGCACCACCCAAUUAACGCACAGCAAGAUCCCAUAAGUCCACAAUGUGACAAUGAUCAGAUUGGGAGUGACGUUGAUUGUGGGGUGCACUUUGGGUCCGGGAUAUUACCACUGGAACAAGGGGAGACUUUCUUUGAGUGAAUGGAGAAUGAUAGUCUUUCAAAAUUAUUUCCGAGAUGAGAGAUUACAGAUGCUGCCAGACUUGCUGUGUUUCUCCAAAAACGUCUGUUUAUAUGGGAUGUUGUUUAUGUUGGGGAGAAAAAUAUAAAAUGAUGCCACAUGUUGUUAAAGAGGCAGUGGUUUCGGCAAGAAGGAUUGGAAACACAGCAGCUGAAACAACUUUACACAAGGAAAGAGGGAGACAAGCUACAAAAUUAUUGGCUAGUGUGCCUGACAUUUGUCCUAGGAAAUUUGCAUUAAUCCAUUGUUAAGGAGGAUACUUAGAAAAUCAUAAUGUGAUUAGGCAAAAAUUGUUUUGUGAAAGGGAAAUUGUCCUUCAGUAAUUUUUUUAAAGUUCUUUGAGAAUGUAACAAAAAGUGUUUAAUAAAAGGGAACCAGGACACGUGGGUGUA